rnacentral:rRNA from 1 species
UACAGAGACUGCAAGCGUUAUUCGGAUUCACUGGGCGUAAAGGGUGCGCAGGCGGCCAAGUGUGUGAGGCGUGAAAGCCCGGGGCUUAACCCCGGAAUUGCACCUCAAACUACAUGGCUAGAGCAUUGGAGAGGGUAGCAGAAUUCAUGGUGUAGCAGUGAAAUGCGUAGAUAUCAUGAGGAAUACCAGAGGCGAAGGCGGCCACCUGGACAAUUGCUGACGCUCAGGCACGAAAGCGUGGGGAGCAAAAGGG